AUCUCGGCACACAGUGUGGAGGACCAGGGCGGGUUCCCUUCCCCCAGCCCAGCUCCUCCUCCAGCCACCCCCCUUCUCAUCCCAGUGAGUCAGUUUAGGGUGGCAGCCCAGGGGCAAGGCAGCUGGGAGGGGGAGGAGGAGGAGGGGACAGACACCCUGCCCCCAAACUAGGCACCUCCUGCCCCCCACCCCAGGCCGGGGCACCUCUCUGAGUGGCAGGCAAGCCUUGAAUGGAGGUGGUCCCUGUCCCCCUCUGGAUUAGCUUGUUCAUCCUAAAACUGCCCCAGCGCGUUGGAAGGAGGUGUGACGCGUACGGUUGCCGAUCUUGAGAAACGGACCUUCCACAACUGGCAGAUGCCUUGGGUGCAGCCUGGGCCCUCCUCACCUCUCGCCUGACAAGUGCCACAGCCUCUGAAAUGGUCUCGCGGCUCCUAUUGCUGCCCAGGCCCACCCCACAUUCUACCUCCACCAGAGCCAAGCAAAUGAAGCCUAAUUGCCGGGAUGCGAACCAGUCGGAAAACCAGUGAGGAAUUAGGCGUCACUGGGAGGCAUUUCCUGAUGCGUGAGAACACGGAGCCCAGAAUGGGAUUAGCCAGUGUUUUAUUUUCUUUUUUAUAAAAAGGGACCUCACCAUUAUUCGUAGCACAGAGGUGCCCUCCCGGUGGCCUUCAGUCGGGUGGGACCGGGUCGUGAUCUCCCCCGUCCCAGGUGGAGGCAGCGGCUCCUAGAAGCUUAUGGUAAUAUUUAAAGAUAUAAAAAGGGACAGGACAAUUAGAAAUGUGCACGAGUGGCUUUAGGGCUGACGUUAUUGAUGCCUUCGUGAUCGAUAGUGCUGUUUUUGUUUGGAUUGCUGGGUAAGGACCAGCCUUAGGAAGCUCGGGCCACAGAAUUGAGACAGCUGUAGAGCGGGGCCGGCGAAGUCCGUCCAGGGAUGAUGGCUGAUUUAGGGCUCGGGGUGAUGGAGGGCGCAGGGUUUUCAUCAGCGUAUGCCCAGGAGAGGGGAUUACAUCUGCCGGCCUUCCAGGCCCCAGGUGGAGCGAAGCCGUUUAUAACAGAAUUUGGCCACACUUGAAUUUUAAUCUGGGGACCCACUGACUGCUUCAAGGGGAAGCUCCAGAAGCCUCCAUUUGUUUUCCAGCGCCUUUACCCAUGAGACGGAAGAAACCCCCACCCCCGUCCCCCCGCCUGCCCACCAGCAGCGGCAUCCGGGAUUGUUUCUGUGGAAGAGAGAGAACAUUUCAUAAUCGGGAGCCAUGAAUCGUCGCCCUGUCUGGGUGAACCGUGGGGACCCGGCUUUCGGAGACCAGGCUCAGCUGAUGUGUGCUGGGCGUUAAUGACCCUCGAGGGAGCUGCUCCGUGCCUUUCACCGAGUGUUUAUGUUAAAACUCGAAACAAUGGGUGAGACGAGGUCCUCCAGCCCAUCUUCUGGGGCCACUCAGGGCCCUCUCUGAGCCGGCUGGUCCACACUGAAAGGAGCUGUCUGUGUAAAGGCACCAGCUUCAGACAGAAGGCAAAAACAACCAAACCAAACCAAACCAAACCAAACCAAAACAUAUUUAACCGAUGGUUUUCUAUAUUGAUUACACGCUGGAAUGUGGAAUGAUACCAUUCUGGAUACAUUGUGUCACACAGAAUGUAUCAUUACGUCAUAUAUGUAUUUUGCGCUUUUGGCUUUACUGUAUUAAAUUUGUCUGCUAGAAAACAA